rnacentral:rRNA from 1 species
GACAGAGGGGGCGAGCGUUGUCCGGAGUCACUGGGCGUAAAGCGCGCGCAGGCGGCAGCCUUAGUGUCGUGUGAAAGCCCCCGGCUCAACCGGGGGAGGCCAUGGCAAACUGGGUCGCUCGAGCUGCGGAGAGGCUCCUCGAAUUGCCGGUGUAGCGGUGAAAUGCGUAGAGAUCGGCAGGAAGACCAAGGGGGAAGCCAGGGGGCUGGCCGCAGGCUGACGAUGAGGCGCGACAGCGUGGGGAGCAAACCGG